rnacentral:rRNA from 1 species
CAGAAAUCAAUUUUUGUUUAUUCCACGCCCUUAUGUCCGUUGCAUGUUAUUCUCAGGGAAGCAGUAAUAUGUUGCUUCCCUUCUUUUUUUGGUGCAGGCGGCGAUGAGUAUGAAAGUUGGAUCGAAUACCGAGAGUUUUAUAGCACCCUAGAAACUGAUAGAGAUUAUCUGCUGUACUGGAAAACGAUUGUGAAGGAUCUUAAGUGGAUUGAAGAACAUGUGCUUAAAGGCUAUUUGGAGUGGCAUGAAUUGCGUGCAAAAGCUUGGCGCCAAGCAGUUAGGAUUGCUACUAGGUUCGAAAACAUUCCUCUGAGCCUAGCAUAUUAUGGUUUUCAGAUGUCUUUCAGAGAUGCUAUGGAGCAUGUGUAUAAGAAGAACCCGUUUCCAUUACGCAAACGUGAUUUGGAGCAUGAGCUGAGUCACCCUGUCUCGUUGGGAUUGGAGGAAGAAUUUCGACGGUGCACGGAGGGCAUCAGCAAGGAAGUUCCACAGUGGAUAGCGCGUGUGUUAAUUUCACAGGAAGUUAGUUUCAAGUGUGAUCUGCCGAGGAGGUAUGUGCAGUACGCCAGGAAGAAGCUCAAGAUUGCAGAGGUCAUAGGAUUGAUUUCCAAGGCCAAGAUAACAGCAUAG